rnacentral:rRNA from 1 species
AUUGAACGCUAGCGGGAUGCCUUACACAUGCAAGUCGAACGGCAGCGCGGACUUCGGUCUGGCGGCGAGUGGCGAACGGGUGAGUAAUGUAUCGGAACGUGCCUAGUAGCGGGGGGAUAACUACUCGAAAGAGUGGCUAAUACCGCAUACGCCCUACGGGGGAAAGGGGGGGAUCGCAAGACCUCUCACUAUUAGCCCGCGUUGGAUUAGGUAGUUGGUGGGGUAAUGGCCUACCAAGCCGACGAUCCAUAGCUGGUUUGAGAGGAUGAUCAGCCACACUGGGACUGAGACACGGCCCAGACUCCUACGGGAGGCAGCAGUGGGGAAUCUUAGACAAUGGGGGAAACCCUGAUCUAGCCAUGCCGCGUGAGCGAUGAAGGCCUUAGGGUUGUAAAGCUCUUUCAGCGGGGAAGAUAAUGACUGUACCCGCAGAAGAAGCCCCGGCUAACUCCGUG